CUGACAGGCCACGAUAAACGGCCGCGAUCCUGCUCCACCUCCUGCAAUGGAUACCGCACGAUUCUCCCAUCCGCUGGCAAGUCACGACAACAAACGCCGUCCCACUUCACGCGGCAGACUCCACGUGGCAUGCCCCAGUGAUAGCCACGGGUCCAUUCCACUACUCUUCGCAGCAAACUCCACCUGACCCUGGGCAGCCCACUGCC
rnacentral:lncRNA from 1 species